UUGCAAACUUAGAUUUUUCUAGAAUGGAACUAACUGGAACUCUUCAUUUUAUAGCUAUGGCUCACUGCCCCUCAGGGGGCAGGGGGCUGGCGAUUC
rnacentral:lncRNA from 1 species